GUGUAGAGGUGAAAUUCGUAAAUAUUAGGAGGAACACCAGUGGCGAAGGCGUCUAUCUGGUUCAAAUCUGACGCUGAGGCGCGAAGGCGUGGGGAGCAAACAGGAUCAGAUACCCUGGUAGUCCACGCUGUAAACGAUGAAUGUUAAAUAUGGGAAGUUUUACUUUCUGUAUUACAGCUAACGCGUUAAACAUUCCGCCUGGGGACUACGGUCGCAAGAUUAAAACUCAAAGGAAUUGACGGGGACCCGCACAAGCGGUGGAGCAUGUGGUUUAAUUCGAUGCAACGCGAAAAACCUUACCACUCCUUGACAUGGAAAUUAUACCUAUUCGAAGGGAUAGGGUCGGUUCGUCCGGGUUUCACACAGGUGUUGCAUGGCUGUCGUCAGCUCGUGUCGUGAGAUGUUGGGUUAAGUCCCGCAACGAGCGCAACCCUCAUCCUUAGUUACCAUCAGGUAAUGCUGGGGACUUUAAGGAAACUGCCAGUGAUAAACUGGAGGAAGGUGGGGAUGAUGUCAAGUCAUCAUGGCCCUUAUGGAGUGGGCUACACACGUGCUACAAUGGUGGCUACAAUGGGCUGCAAAGUCGCGAGGCUAAGCUAAUCCCUUAAAAGCCAUCUCAGUUCGGAUUGUACUCUGCAACUCGAGUGCAUGAAGUUGGAAUCGCUAGUAAUCGUGGAUCAGCACGCCACGGUGAAUACGUUCUCGGGUCUUGUACACACUGCCCGUCACGCCAUGGGAAUUGGUUUCACUCGAAGCUAACGACCUAACCGCAAGGAGGGAGUUAUUUAAAGUGGGAUCGGUGACUGGGGUGAAGUCGUAACAAGGUAGCAGUAGGGGAAUCUGCGGCUGGAUCA
rnacentral:rRNA from 1 species